rnacentral:rRNA from 1 species
CCUACGGGUGGCAGCAGUAGGGAAUAUUGCUCAAUGGCGGAAACCCUGAAGCAGCAACGCCGCGUGGAGGAUGAAGGUUUUCGGAUUUGAAACUCCUUUUGUUAGAGAAGAUAAUGACGGUAUCUAACGAAUAAGCACCGUCUAACUCCGUGCCAGCAGCCGCCGUAAUACGGAGGGUGCAAGCGUUACUCGGAAUCACUGGGCGUAAAGAGCGCGUAGGCGGGAUAGCAAGUCAGAUGUGAAAUCCUAUGGGUUAACUAUAGAACUGCAUUUGAAACUGUUAUUCUAGAGUAUGGGAGAGGUAGGUGGAAUUCUUGGUGUAGGGGUAAAAUCCGUAGAGAUCAAGAGGAAUACUCAUUGCGAAGGCGACAUGCUAGAACAUAACUGACGCUGAUGCGCGAAAGCGUGGGGAGCAAACAGGAUUAGAUACCCCUGUAGUC